CCCCAUGUUGGCCAGGCUGGUCUUGAACUCCUGACCUCAAGUGAUCUGCCUGCCUCUGUCUCCCAAAGUGCUGGGAUUACAGAUGUGAGCCACACUUCUGGCCUGACAUCACAUUACUUCUUUCAAUUUGCAAAAAUUACAAAUUAGGUAAUGCCCAGCCUCAGUAGAAACAUAAGGUCCCAGGCUCCAGGGACCUCUGGCACUGCUGGUGUGAUUAGAGCAGUUCAAGUUAAGUGUGGUACGGUCUGAUUAAAAAUCAGACACAGUGCCUUCAUAAUUAAGGCAAUUAUUGUUUUAAUGUUGGGCAUACAUUUUCUAAUCUUUAUCUAUCUUUUCUCUUACGUUAAUGAAAUAAGAAUGAGCCUUGAAGUUAAUAUUCUGCAUUUUACACCUAAUGUAUCAGGAAUACAUUCAAAUAUUUGUAUAGUACUUAUUAUUGUUAGCAAAUCCUACAUAGCUGAAGAUUUUAUUUGUUUUAUUUGAUACCACUGCAAUAACCAUUUGUGGAACAUAGUUCCUCCACUGUCCUCUGCUGGAAUGUUUACUUUUAGAUAAAUUUCCAGGGGUACGUUAUUAGAAAUGAGAGUAAAAGGAAUGUUUUGGCUCUAUAAAUUUGUAGCAAUACUUGAAGGAGUUGAUGUGGAAGAUACUGGUGUCUUCUGUUGUUGCUAACCCUGGGAUGAUCCACAAGCCAGUCCGGCCACCCAACUUCUUUAGCAUCCCUCUUCCAGUGUGUAGGAGAAAGCCAUGGUUGCCAGGGCUCUUCUCACCCCCUCCUCCAAGCCAUGCAAACAAAUCCUCCCUUAAGCCCAUCCGGACCCUGUAAUGCCAGGGCCGUGGCUUGUUUGCACCUGCAUAGAUAGCAGAUCAUGAGAGUGUGCCUAGCAUAUAAUGCCUUCUUAGUGCAUGUUGGGUGUAUGAAUAAAUAAGUGAAUAAACAAGUAAGUGAACGAAUGAAAGAAAGCAGCGAGAAAGCGCUGCAACUCAGUCUAGUCUUGUCCCAGCGCAAACAGCCAGUAGGUUGCGCUGUUGCACCGGCCGUUGCAAACCCUCAGAGCAGGUUUAAACAGAGCUCUCUGACUCUGGGACAGAGGAAAUGGAAAACCUGUGUCUUCAAACCACGUCAUUUGGUUUGAAGAUGACUUAAUGUGAAAAGAAAUGUAUUUUAAGGUUAUUAAAAUAAUCCUUAGGACUUGAAAAUCUCAGCUAGCUUCUGAAUGCUUUGGGAAUACUUUCUCCAUAGUUACUGCACACAAGCCCGUGGGGUGGGCAGGGCAGGUAUGUGCUCACUGAGGUCCAGAGAGGUUAGUUUCUCGGCUGGUAGAGGCAGAGCUGGAUGCAGAGCCAGGCACAGAGCCAAGACAUGUCUGACCCCAGUCCAGCGGGAUCUCCUGCAAGCUGCGGUGUUUCCAGAGGCACACUUCAGUGUGUGGAGUGAAAGGAGAGUGUCUGGACAUGGGAAGAGCUGCUCUCAGCAGUGUGGCAGGCCCAUUUUUGUUUCCUUUCUCUUUCUCCUCUUGGGGCAAGGCAGACACCAGGCACAAAGAAGGAAACAGGCCUUCCGUGAGUGCAGUAGCAAUAAGGGAGAAGCCCAGAGCGGCCACUCCUCUUCUGUCUGCUGUGAUGUUCCGGCCCUGUGUCCCUGGGGCUGCCUUCCCCAGGGCCUGUGUGUUGCGUAUAUGGGGUGGGGUGAGGGCAGCUGGAAUUGAGAUGGGGACCCUGUGAUUGUGAGGGGCUGUGGGGCAGAGGUGGGUGGCUCUCGCAGGCCUCUUCCUGGACGCUUGCGCCCCCUCAUCCUGCUCUCUGUUUCUUCCUGCACUUACAUCAGCUCAUGUGUGUAUUUUCUCAUUGACCGUCUCCCUCUACAGGAGCAUCGGAGGAGAGGGACUUCAUCCGACUUGUUCACCCCCGUCUCCCAGCUCCUGGCACAGAGGGAGCACUCAAUACACACCAAUGGGCUGAAGGCGUCAGUGGAUCUGGGGACUAGAGUGAUGGUGAUUUGGCAGACAGCAUCCCCCCCGUGGGCAGUAGCCGGGAAGACCCUUCUUUGGCUCUCCUCACCUGCACUCUUUAGGAUUGAACAGCGUUGCUUCGAUGCAUAUUCUGGGAGCACAGAGAAACAAGGGACGCAGUUCCACCAUUCUGAAAAAGGGGCUCCUGUAAGCCAGACCCUGAGCUGUUGUCAAAACACAGCUUAACCCCCAUUCUCUGGCCUGAGACCCUGCAGCCCCCACGCUGCCCGACUUCGCUGCCCAGCUUUGGGUCUUACCUGGAGCAACUUGACCAACAAGAAUGCACAAGGCCAGGAGCCAAGAACAGAGACUCCAGAUGGGGAACAGAAGGAAAAGGCCGAACCGGAGCUGACCUUGGCCACAUCAAUGUCAUAGAGCUUCUUCACAGCCUGCUUGAUCUGGUGCUUGUUGGCUUUAACAUCCACAAUGAAUGUAAGUGUGUUGUUUUCUUCUAUGUUCUUCACUGCUGACUCAGUGGUCAGCGGCAACUUGACGAUAGCAUAGUGGUCAAGCUUGUUCUCCGGGGGGCGCUCUCCCGAGGAUAUUUGGGCCGCUUGUUCUCUCUGGGCUGCCUCUGGAGUCACAGUGUCACCGGAAAGUGAGUGACGUGUGGGUCUUCCUUUUUGUGUGGCUGUGGACGCCUUUCAACACUGCCUUCUUGGCCUUCAAAGCCUUCACUUUGACUUCCUUCCACUUUAGGAGGGGCAGGAGCUUCCUUCUU